AUUGAACGCUGGCGGCAGGCCUAACACAUGCAAGUCGAGCGGAGCGGCGGACGGGUGAGUAAUGCCUAGGAAUCUGCCUGGGAGUGGGGGAUAACGUCCGGGAACGGGAGCUAAUACAGCAUACUAUCAGAUGGGCAUCGGUCGGCUUAGCUAGUUGGUGGGGUAAAGGCUUACCAAGGCGACGAUCCGUAACUGGUCUGAGAGGAUGAUCAGUCACACUGGAACUGAGACACGGUCCAGACUCCUACGGGAGGCAGCAGUGGGGAAUAUUGGACAAUGGGCGAAAGUCUGAGCCAGCCAUGCCGCGUGUGUGAAGAAGGUCUUCGGAUUGUAAAGCACUUUAAGUUGGGAGGCGUUACCAACAGAAUAAGCACCGGCUAACUUCGUGCCAGCAGCCGCGGUAAUUC
rnacentral:rRNA from 1 species